AGCAGUCGCCGCGGUAAUACGGAGGGAGCUAGCGUUGUUCGGAAUUACUGGGCGUAAAGCGCACGUAGGCGGUUAUUCAAGUCAGAGGUGAAAGCCCGGGGCUCAACCCCGGAACUGCCUUUGAAACUAGAUGACUGGAAUCUUGGAGAGGUCAGUGGAAUUCCGAGUGUAGAGGUGAAAUUCGUAGAUAUUCGGAAGAACACCAGUGGCGAAGGCGACUGACUAGACAAGUAUUGACGCUGAGGUGCGAAAGCGUGGGGAGCAAACAGGAUUAGAUACCCCUGUAGUCCCUGUCUCUUAUAC
rnacentral:rRNA from 1 species